AUUGAACGCUGGCGGCAGGCCUAACACAUGCCAGUCGAGCGGAUGAAGGGAGCUGGCUCCUGGAUUCAGCGGAGGACGGGUGAGUAAUGCCUAGGAAUCUGCCUGGUAGUGGGGGAUAACGUCCGGAAACGGGCGCUAAUACCGCAUACGUCCUGAGGGAGAAAGUGGGGGAUCUUCGGACCUCACGCUAUCAGAUGAGCCUAGGUCGGAUUAGCUAGUUGGUGGGGUAAAGGCCUACCAAGGCGACGAUCCGUAACUGGUCUGAGAGGAUGAUCAGUCACACUGGAACUGAGACACGGGCCAGAACCCUACGGGAGGCAGCAGUGGGGAAUAUUGGACAAGGGGCGAAAGCCUGAUCCAGCCAUGCCGCGUGUGUGAAGAAGGUCUUCGGAUUGUAAAGCACUUUAAGUUGGGAGGAAGGGCAGUAAGUUAAUACCUUGCUGUUUUGACGUUCCCAACAGAAUAAGCACCGGCGAACUUCGU
rnacentral:rRNA from 1 species